AGAGUUUGAUCUGGGUCAGAUUGAACGCGGCGGCAGGCCUAACACAUGCAAGUCGAACGGUAACAGGAAGAAGCUUGCUUCUUUGCUGACGAGUGGCGGACGGGUGAGUAAUGUCUGGGAAACUGCCUGAUGGAGGGGGAUAACUACUGGAAACGGUAGCUAAUACCGCAUAACGUCGCAAGACCAAAGAGGGGGACCUUCGGGCCUCUUGCCAUCGGAUGUGCCAAGAUGGGAUUAGCUUGUUGGUGGGGUAACGGCUUACCAAGGCGACGAUCCCUAGCUGGUCUGAGAGGAUGACCAGCCACACUGGAACUGAGACACGGUCCAGACUCCUACGGGAGGCAGCAGUGGGGAAUAUUGCACAAUGGGCGCAAGCCUGAUGCAGCCAUGCCGCGUGUAUGAAGAAGGCCUUCGGGUUGUAAAGUACUUUCAGCGGGGAGGAAGGGAGUAAAGUUAAUACCUUUGCUCAUUGACGUUACCCGCAGAAGAAGCACCGGCUAACUCCGUGCCAGCAGCCGCGGUAAUACGGAGGGUGCAAGCGUUAAUCGGAAUUACUGGGCGUAAAGCGCACGCAGGCGGUUUGUUAAGUCAGAUGUGAAAUCCCCGGGCUCAACCUGGGAACUGCAUCUGAUACUGGCAAGCUUGAGUCUCGUAGAGGGGGGUAGAAUUCCAGGUGUAGCGGUGAAAUGCGUAGAGAUCUGGAGGAAUACCGGUGGCGAAGGCGGCCCCCUGGACGAAGACUGACGCUCAGGUGCGAAAGCGUGGGGAGCAAACAGGAUUAGAUACCCUGGUAGUCCACGCCGUAAACGAUGUCGACUUGGAGGUUGUGCCCUUGAGGCGUGGCUUCCGGAGCUAACGCGUUAAGUCGACCGCCUGGGGAGUACGGCCGCAAGGUUAAAACUCAAAUGAAUUGACGGGGGCCCGCACAAGCGGUGGAGCAUGUGGUUUAAUUCGAUGCAACGCGAAGAACCUUACCUGGUCUUGACAUCCACGGAAGUUUUCAGAGAUGAGAAUGUGCCUUCGGGAACCGUGAGACAGGUGCUGCAUGGCUGUCGUCAGCUCGUGUUGUGAAAUGUUGGGUUAAGUCCCGCAACGAGCGCAACCCUUAUCCUUUGUUGCCAGCGGUCCGGCCGGGAACUCAAAGGAGACUGCCAGUGAUAAACUGGAGGAAGGUGGGGAUGACGUCAAGUCAUCAUGGCCCUUACGACCAGGGCUACACACGUGCUACAAUGGCGCAUACAAAGAGAAGCGACCUCGCGAGAGCAAGCGGACCUCAUAAAGUGCGUCGUAGUCCGGAUUGGAGUCUGCAACUCGACUCCAUGAAGUCGGAAUCGCUAGUAAUCGUGGAUCAGAAUGCCACGGUGAAUACGUUCCCGGGCCUUGUACACACCGCCCGUCACACCAUGGGAGUGGGUUGCAAAAGAAGUAGGUAGCUUAACCUUCGGGAGGGCGCUUACCACUUUGUGAUUCAUGACUGGGGUGAAGUC
rnacentral:rRNA from 1 species